rnacentral:rRNA from 1 species
UCCAUUAAAUUUCAUUAUGGUUCCUUAGAUCGUUUCUUCCUACUUGGAUAACUGUGGCAAUUCUAGAGCUAAUACAUGCAGUGAGCCUGAAGCCCUUUGGGCGACGGGUGCUUUUAUUAGACCAAGAUCGAUCGGGUUUCGGCCCGUAUUGUGUGGUGACUCUGGAUAACUUUGUGCUGAUCGCAUGGCCACGAGCCGGCGACGUUUCUUUCAAGUGUCUGCCUUAUCAACUUUCGAUGGUAGGUUACUUGCUUACCAUGGUUGUUACGGGUAACGGAGAAUCAGGGUUCGAUUCCGGAGAGGGAGCCUGAGAAACGGCUACCACAUCCAAGGAAGGCAGCAGGCGCGCAAAUUACCCACUCCCGGCACGGGGAGGUAGUGACGAAAAAUAACAAUACGGGACUCUUUUGAGGCCCCGUAAUUGAAAUGAGUACACUCUAAAUCCUUUAACGAGGAUCAAUUGGAGGGCAAGUCUGGUGCCAGCAGCCGCGGUAAUUCCAGCUCCAAUAGCGUAUACUAAAGCUGCUGCGGUUAAAAAGCUCGUAGUUGGAUCUCAGUUCCAGACGAGUAGUGCAUCUACCCGAUGCGACGGCUCGGACUGAACAUCAUGCCGGUCCUUUCUUGGUGCACUUCAUUGUGUGCCUCGAGAAGGCCGGUGCUUUUACUUUGAAAAAAUUAGAGUGCUCAACGCAGGCGAGUCGCCUGAAUAAACUUGCAUGGAAUAAUAGAACAAGACCUCGUUUCUGUUCUGUUGGUUUUUGGAAUACGAGGUAAUGAUUAAGAGGGACAGACGGGGGCAUUC